UUACUACAGGAGGCAAGGGAGUCGCGUU
rnacentral:sRNA from 1 species